rnacentral:tRNA from 1 species
GGGCGCGUGGCCUAGUGGACCAAGGCGAGCGGUUCCUAACCUCUAGAUCGCGGGUUCGAAUCCCGCCGCGUCCG